GGCACCGUGGCUUAGCUGGCUAAAGCACUUACCUUGUAAGCAGGAGAUCCUGGGUUUAAAUCCUAGUGAUACCU
rnacentral:tRNA from 1 species